rnacentral:rRNA from 1 species
AGCAGCCGCGGUAAUUCCAGCUCCAAUAGCGUAUAUUAAAGUUGUUGCAGUUAAAAAGCUCGUAGUUGAAUUUCGGGAUCAAUUCGUCGGUCGUGCUUUUUGUACGUACUGGUGUUAUUGGUUUCUCCUUUCUGACGAACCAUGAUGUCAUUAAUUUGGUGUUAUGGGGAGUUAGGACUGUUACUUUGAAAAAAUUAGAGUGUUUAAAGCAGGCAUUAGCUUGAAUACAUUAGCAUGGAAUAAUGAAAUAGGACGUUCGAUCCUAUUUUGUUGGUUUCUAGGAUCAACGUAAUGAUUAAUAGGGAUAGUUGGGGGCAUUAGUAUUCAAUUGUCAGAGGUGAAAUUCUUGGAUUUAUUGAAGACUAACUACUGCGAAAGCAUUUGCCAAGGAUGUUUUCAUUAAUCAAGAACGAAAGUUAGGGGAUCGAAGACGAUCAGAUACCGUCGUAGUCUUAACCAUAAACUAUGCCGACUAGGGAUCGGAUGAUGUUAAUUUUUUAAUGACUCAUUCGGCGCCUUA